GAGAGAGGUAUGUUGAGAUGCCUGUGUUAACAGCCAUGAUCACACACAAGUUUUUGAUUCAAGUUUAUGGGAACCUGACGAUCCAAUGCAUGGAACUGAGGAUGGAUAGAGGAGAUGCAAACUGGUAAAGGUGAAAGAAUCAGCGGCGCAGCAUGGCCAGUGCAAGGCGGAAAUGGAGGAGACUAACUUUUGGCCAUGGUAGACAGGCUUAUCUAGGUUGAGUUUACAAUUAUUAUUGUUUCUAAUAAUGCCAAUAGAAACUGGUUUGUACAGGGAACAACAAUGUAUUAUAUCUGCCAGUGUAAAUAAAUUUAUGAAAAAUGACAUGACAAUCGAUUAAAAAACUGGCUUGAAUACAUUGUGAUGUGAUUAUGAUGAAUUGUUGUGAAUUAAAUCA